AGUGGAGUCGACCUUCUGUUUGUCGCAAGACAAACUGUCUUUCAGAAAUUUAAUUUCAUUUAAUUUAGAUGCUAUAACCAAACUCAAUAUUUAACACCUCAUAUUUGGGAAUGAAAGGUUAUCCAUUUUCUUUUUUUUUGAUAUGGGUUUUAUUUCAAUUUAGACGGAGAGAGGAGAGCGCGCUCUGCAAGUACCUGGUAUCUCUUGGAGCAGGAACUUGUUUUCUUUAUUCUGAAAUUUUUGUACUAAUUAUCCGGUGCCGAAGUGGGCCGAAGACAUGGUAAACAUUUAAAAAACCACAUACAUAUGUACGUACAUAUGUAUGUAUACUGCGUGGGCAUCACACAAGUAUGUACAUACAUACAUUCACACAAACCAUAACAAUUUGGUGCUUUAGCUAUAAUAUUCAUACACGGACAUGUUUGGUUAUUUAUUGGUGAUGGUCAAGAAUGUAUGGGGAUGGGGUCAGGUGCUAUAUGUAAUUUGGUUUCUCAGCAGGAGUUCACGAUUUGUUUACAUUUCACUUAAUAAAUUCACCUAACAGGAAUGAAUAUAUGGGAAUAUAAUAUACGAGUAUCUACAUACAUAUGUACAUACAUAUGUAUUCGAAAAGUCGCACACGAACCAAAAGCAUAUGCAUGAGAGGAAACCAAACCCGUUGGAUGUACAUACAUAUGUACACAUGUAAAUAGGUUGGUGGAAUCUGCCACUGAAUACAUACAUGACAAAGCAUUUUGCGACUUUAAAAAGUUAUACACGUCCAUUGCAACAUGACAAGUAAUUUGGAUACAACUUAUACCCAAAACUCAUACCGAAAUUUUAAAUAUCUUAACUACCUAUGAACAUACUAUGCACUCAAGCUUUCACUCACACAUAUGUAUAUUUAUGUAAGUAAGAUUACUUACAGACUUUAGCAUUUACAAACUUGCAUGAAUUAAAUCGUGGCUUCAAAAUAUGGAUCACGUUCUAAAUGACAACGUGAGAAAUGCACAUUUAUACAUCGAGGUCCGGAUCGACGCGAUUCUGUAGAUAAAACAUGAGCUGGUAUGUUAAUUGCAGUUAAA